UAGCUCAUUCAGUAGAGCAUGAGACUCUUAAUCCCAGGGUUGUGGGUUCGUGCCCCUC
rnacentral:tRNA from 1 species